ACUCCUACGGGAGGCAGCAGUGGGGAAUCUUGGACAAUGGGGGCGAACCCUGAUCCAGCCAUGCCGCGUGAGUGAUGAAGGCCUUAGGGUCGUAAAGCUCUUUCGCCUGUGAUGAUAAUGACAGUAGCAGGUAAAGAAACCCCGGCUAACUCCGUGCCAGCAGCCGCGGUAAUACGGAGGGGUUAGCGUUGUUCGGAAUUACUGGGGCGUAAAGCGCGCGUAGGCGGAUUAGUCAGUUAGAGGUGAAAUCCCAGGGCUCAACCCUGGAACUGCCUUUAAUACUGCUAGUCUUGAGUUCGAGAGAGGUGAGUGGAAUUCCGAGUGUAGAGGUGAAAUUCGUAGAUAUUCGGAGGAACACCAGUGGCGAAGGCGGCUCACUGGCUCGAUACUGACGCUGAGGUGCGAAAGUGUGGGGAGCAAACAGGAUUAGAUACCCUGGUAGGAUAGCG
rnacentral:rRNA from 1 species